UGUCUUCACUCUCUCUUUUUUUUUUUUUUGCAAAUUACACAAGUACAGCACACACGCACACUCACCCCCUAUCAAUACACAUACACAAACUCUACCCUUAGAGCACCUCCGAAUGACUAUUCCGGCACAUUUCGAGAUUAAUAAAGUCACUACAGGUGUCUCGCUAUCGAUGGGACUCCCCUCGCCGCAAGUAUUCCUUUAGGGCUUCUUUCGAUGUUAUAUACUUCUCUUUCUCCUCCCAUUUCCCUUCGCUUAAAUUAUUGGAAUAAUUUUGGAGGGUUUUCUUAUAAUUUUUAAUUUUGAUUAUGACCUCAGUAUGGAUCUUUUCCUUACUAUUAAAAGAGAAUCUACAAGAGAGCCAAGAAAUUAAGGAUCUUUCUACAUCACAACUGGAUUAUCAUAAUCUAGAUUAUAUUAAUACAUAAAAUUGUUAUAAUUUGGACUAUGAACUAUAAAAAUUGAAGUGUUUGAAUUUCUAGAUUAUUAUGGUAGGUGGGGUUCAGGGUAGAUAUCGAGCCAGCUCGGUUCGUCAUAGCUCGCCUUAUUUAGAAUUUGGCUCGACUCAACUCGUUUCACUAACGAGCUAGAGGAGUAGCUCGGCUAGGCUCACUAAAUAGCUCGAGCAGCCCGUUUUUGCUCGAGAGCCAGAUCUCAAAAACACAUUAUGGAGAAUUUUUUUUCCAUGAACAGCAAGCCAACAAACACAAAGUACAUAUAAAUUUAACAAAGG
rnacentral:lncRNA from 1 species